AUGAAGUCACCGCGGCCCACACUCGCUCUUUGUUUUGCUCACUCCGGCUCCUUUUUUCUCCCCCUUGGCUCUGAUAGUUGUCAUGCCCACCGUUCACAAGAGCUCCUGAUGCGUGGCCGCGCAACAAGAAUCGCUCCCCCUGUUCCCUCUCCCCCUGCUCGCCGAAUCCCUACACCCCCACGCUCCCUUGGACCGUUUGGAGAUUCGCUCAGUCCUAACGGCAGCUGCGCACAAACCCCCAGCCUCUCCCCCGGGCACUCUGCGCUCCUUUGUUCCGAGAUACUCACUGCCCGGCAGCUGCAGCAUAGAGUGGAGCAGGGGGCCUCUCCCCGCCCCCAACACCCUCUGGUCCGCGGCCUGCCCGACGUCUUUCAUAGAGCGCCCGCCUCUUACAGGCAUUAGACCGGUCCAGCCAGGUCAAGGUGUGGACUGCGCACUGGGACUCACAGAAUUAGCUAAACAAACCAAGAACCCAGCUGGAAAAUUACAAGUGCCCUAGAUCUGCAAAACAGGUCCUUUUGAGAGACCAAAUGAAUGCUCCAAACCUGAAAAACUGAUAACUUUGAAACACAAUUCACUAUCGUCAAUGUACUCUAAAUAAAUAGAAUUAAUUUUA